UAUGGUAAUUAUCGCAAGAAGGAUCCACCUGUUCCCAUAUCGAACACAGACGUUAAGCUUCUUUGCGCCGAGGAUAGUAAGGGCUUUGUCCUUGUGAAAGCCGGUCGUCGCCGUUC
rnacentral:rRNA from 1 species